AGUGAUACACUGUUACUAUGAGUUUUCUACUUUUGCGUUGCCAAAAUGCUGGAUAGUAAUUGUACUUUCUGAUGCACAAAUUGAGGAAGAGACAAGCCUGAGCUGUGUUAGGUGAGAGAUUCCCCACAAGUGAUAGAGUCUAUAGAAUAGAGAUAAAUGGCCUGCACAAAAGGAUGGGGCUGGACUCAAACCCACUGCUGUAAGGACUCAGGCUUGACACAUGGCACACACUCUAAACAGAAGCAGUGUCUCUGUGUCAGUUGCUCUAUGUCAGUGCUUAAGUUGAGAGGAUGGGAAAGCAGAGAAAACUAACUUCUUCAGCACAAAUUUGUGGGGUUUUUUUUGUUUUUUUCCAGACCUUUGUCGAAUCUAUGCUAUUUCAUUGUGAAUUACUCAACAGUUAUAUACAUUUACCGAUCUACCCCCAUUUUCAACUGGCCGGCCACCUUCCCACGUCACGUGGUUCCACCGUCAAUCGUCAGCUUGUCCAGCUGAUUGUGGGAGCUGAUAAAAGUUGCCUCCUGGAAAUGCCAGAGGCGGCUGAGAUUUCAACUGAGCAGUCCUCCUAUGUUGCCUCUUGCUCUCAAGAUAACUGAACAAUCACUGCAGAGCCCUUGCCACCCCCAACAUCCAAUCAGAUGUGAGACAGGUGAACUCAGCAUGGCACCUUGUCAGACAGUCUCCCCCACAGUCUGGAACCACUGGAGAUAGUGUAGGUGGAGGGAAUGUGUAUGUGUGUUUCCUGAAUACCUUCAGGGACCGUGGUGCAUUGGGAUGAACAGGAGCAAUGUGUGUGUGUGUGUGUGUGUGUGUGUGUAGUUUGUGCAGUGUGUAUUAUCUCUCGCAUGGAUGACUCAGGGCAAUCAAGAGUAAAUGCGUGAGUGUGAUUUUCUUGCUCCGAUGGGAAUUUCCCAGCUUGCCAUCUGAUGGUCAGUGUGGCUCAUUCUCUGGAUACCUGUGAAUUGGUAGCGAAUUGCUUUGAAAUAAACCAAAUAUCUUUCCACGCCAA